rnacentral:tRNA from 1 species
ACCUGGGUGGCUCAGUUGGUUAAGUAUUGGACUUCAGGUCAUGAUCUCAUGGCUUGUGGGUUCAAGCCCCACCCCGGGUU